AACGAACGCUGGCGGCAUGCCUAACACAUGCAAGUCGAACGAGACCUUCGGGUCUAGUGGCGCACGGGUGCGUAACGCGUGGGAACCUGCCCUUAGGUUCGGAAUAACUCCCCGAAAGGGGUGCUAAUACCGGAUAAUAUCUUCGGACCAAAGAUUUAUCGCCUUUGGAUGGUCCCGCGUUGGAUUAGCUAGUUGGUAGGGUAAACGCCUACCAAGGCGACGAUCCAUAGAUGGUCUGAGAGGAUGAUCAGACACACUGGGACUGGGACACGGCCCAGACUCCUACGGGAGGGAGAAGUGGGGAAUAUUGGAAAAUGGGCGAAAGCCUGAUGCACCAAUGCCGGGAGAGUGAUGAAGGCCUUAGGGUUGUAAAGCUCUUUUACCCGGGAUGAUCAUGACAGUACCGGGAGAAUAAGCUCCGGCUAACUCCGUG
rnacentral:rRNA from 1 species